rnacentral:rRNA from 1 species
GACGAACGCUGGCGGCACGCUUAACACAUGCAAGUCGAACGGACAGGCACUGCUUUGGUGGGGUGCGCGAGUGGCGAACGGGUGAGUAACACGUGAGUAACCUGCCUCUGACAGUGGGAUAACUUCUGGAAACGGGUGCUAAUACCGGAUAGAAGCUCAUGCUCCAUGGUGGGGGUUGGCAAGUAAAUUCGGUAAGGGAUGGGCUCGCGUCUGAUUAGCUAGUUGGUGGGGUAGUGGCUCACCAAGUCGUCGACCAGUAGCCGGCCUGAGAGGGUGACCGGCUACAUUGGGACUGAGACACGGACCAGACCCCGACGGGAAGCAGCAGUGGGGAAUAUUGCACAAUGGAGGCAACUCUGAUGCAGCCAUGCCGCGGGUGGGAGGAAGGUUUUUGGAUUGCAAAUUCGUUUGAUCAGGGACGAUAAUGACGGUACCGGAAGAAGAAGCACCGGCUAACUACGUG